GCUUACGCCAUACCACCCUGAAUGCGCCCGAUCUGUUGAUCUCGGAAGCUAAGCAGGGUCAGGCCUGGUUAGUACUUGGAUGGGAGACCGCCUGGGAAUACCAGGUGCUGUAAGCU
rnacentral:rRNA from 1 species